rnacentral:lncRNA from 1 species
AGACUUUUCUCAUCUAUAAAAGAGACGUGAAAGGAACAAAUUGAACAGUAUAUUCAUUGAUGUUCUCUUCAGCUUCAAAAUACAGUUUCAGUAGUGACCUUUUUUCUUUUUUUUUUUUUAUUGCUCCUAACCAGGAAGAAUUAUGCUUUGUUAAUAAAACGUGGACUUACUGAACAAUUUCUCAGAAAUUGGAGUUACAUUGGUUUGGCAAGUAAAAAACUGGCAUAUCCAUACAGCCUAAUAAAAACAAACAACAAGUUACUCUGUAGAAUAGCAGACGCCAUCUAAAUGAAUUUUAUUGUGGCUAGUUGACCAAAGCAUCACCACCAGGAAGGUGGAACUAAAGGAAGAAAUAAUUUACACACCUGCUUAGGGUGCGGCUAGAAGCACAGGCACUAUAAGGAAUGAGUCCAUGACUGCAACCUUGCAAGUAUGCAUAGCUCAUUAGAGAAGCAAGUUCUCAAAGGACAGCUGUGUCCAGAGGUGAAGCUGAACCCUAGGCUACAGCACAUAGGGAAAAAAGGACAAAUUAAGGAAAGAAACUCCUGAGACUGGCCUAGAAAUUAAGGUAAGUGUACCUUGUCUUGGUUAACUGUGAAGGACCAUGAUUUUCAAGGUCUUAGGGACAAGUUUAUCACUGGUCCUUUGAGUUCACCUGAAGUUUUAUGAGGCAAGGAGGUGGGGCUCUCAUAGUCUAGGCGUUUGGAACAGAAGAAAAGGUGCUAGGAGUCAGGUCCAAAGCUUAGUAACUUAAUUCCCACCAGCCAAGAAAACUACUGAAAGGUUUGGUUAUGUUUUGGUUUUGCACUUGGCUGGCUUCUUUGAUGUUGUUAAUCAAAGAUCAUUAUAAAUAAAAGCAAAUGCCAGAAAUAAGAAUGUUUUGUUAAAUAAUCAGAAAUUAGACUAUGGAAGAAAAAUCUAGAAAUUUAAUUCUAACCAUUCUGUGUAAUGGCUAAGUCUUUAGCUCAUUCUGAAAGCAGCUCAUAGUAAUCACUGAGAACACAGGGAAGUUUUGUUCUUAGUAUUUUCUCAGAGCUCUUUAAGAAAAAUGUAUGGUCCAGGAUACAUAGCCUGAAAUAAGAAAGGAUGGGCUGUUUGAUAAGUUGGUUCCCCUUGGGAUGAGCAAGAAAUACACUUCCAAAUGUAAAGAGAGUUUGUUAUCCAAAGAGUGGCAGGCAGGUCCUUGGAUUUUGUUAUGGCAUUAGGCAUCACAACUGCAACUACAUUCUGUUUGGUAUGAGUAUUGAACCUGUCAUGUCCGGUUUCUUGAGCAAUCCUCAGCCUAGAAUAACAUGACAGCUAGCAUCCUCAGAAAGAUCCCAGUAUGUAUUCAGACUGUCUAAAAAGAGUUUUAGGGUCUGGGUGUAUCUGUACUGGACAUAAACAGGACAGCUGAGCAUAUUUACUUCACUGUGUCCUAAGUGUUCCUCAUGCCAGCAGAAAGAUCAGAAACAAUGUUGUCAAGAUUCCCUCAAGGAGAGUUUGGGACAUGUUGACACAUUUAUGGAAUGCUGGGAGGAAUAGAUACCAACUUGUCAGCUUUAAGAGCGGCUUAUUUUAUGCCAAGGUACUAGUGAUUGUGACAGUAUUGUCUUAAAUAUUAUAGACCUGCUAUGAAUCAGAGCUGUUGUCCUGUGGGUGCAUUGGGAGAGAAGGCCCAGAUAAAUUUAGGGCCAGCAAAAUUGUUCUUAUAGCCGGGCAUGGUGGCACACACCUUUAAUCCCAGCACUUGGAAGGCAGAGGCAGGCGGAUUUCUGAGUUCAGUUCGAGGACAGCCAAGGCUAUACAGAGAAACCGUUUCUGUCUCAGGGGAAAAAAAUUGUUUUUAUGACUUCAAAAAAGAUAAACUAAUUCUAGGCAAGACUUUUGAUACUAAUUAAAAUUAAUAUGAGCACUUAUUGACUUCGGAAUCAAGUGUCACUAGUAAUGGUACUAUUCAGAAUAGCAUACUUUAAUUAAAUCUUAGAUUGUCAAAUUAGAGAGCCAUUUCCAUAAUAGCUGUUAACCAUGAGUACCAGCAUCAAUUUUGGGGCAGGUAGAAUGAACUUUAUUCUUCUUCUAUGUGUGUAGGUUUUGUUUUUGUUUUUGUUUUCUGCAUGUUGGUUUGCACCCCAUGCAUGCCUGGUGCCCUCAGAGGCCAGAAGAGGACAUCAGAUAUGCUGGAAUUGCAGUUAGAGUUUACAGUUAUAAGUGCUGAGAAUCAAACCUCAGGUCCUCUGGAAGAGCAACCCCUGAACCAUCUCUAGCCCUGGCUAGAGAACUUCAGAAAGAGAAUAUCAACAUGCAGGUUCACAUGGAACUUCAGGUUAAUGGGUAGGCUGUGUAAAUGACUUGCUUGUGCAGCUUAGUGAGCAAGUAUAAAUCAGCAUUUUUCUUGAUUUAAUUUUACCAAAUUGAAAACGGAAAGCAUGUAUAAUUAUGCUUGGUUAUAUAGAGAAAAAGGCUUGCUUAGUAUAGUCCUAUUCCUGGUAAAUAAAGGGUUUGGGGUUUUUGUUUGUUUGUUUGUUUUUGUUUUGUUUGUUUUGUUUGUUUGGGGGUUGGUUUUUUUUUUUUGUUUUUUUUUUUUUUUUCCUAAAAGGGAAAUGGAGAGGGAAUUUGCAAGUGCGGUGAUCUGAGAUCAACAAAACCUCUUACAUGGGAUGCCUUCCAUAGGUAUUAUAUAAAGCUCAGUUCCACCUUACUUCCAGGUAGUGUUGUGAUUUCCAUGACCACAAACAAUCUAACUUAUUUAUCUACCUGUCUAUUCUAUCUAUUGUUCGUACUUUCUGAAAAAUUGAACCUUGUACGUGGUGGCAAGCAUUCCACCAACAGAACUACACCUUAGCAUUAAUUUAUUUUUAAAAUAUAAAGCUAGAAAUUAACACCUGAUUUUAUGUCCUGGGUAAUGUAUUUUGUGACCAGAUCAGGAGGAAAAAUAAAAUUCAUUUCAUAGUACUAAAUAGAUAUUUUGCACGUGUGAAUUUUAUUGAUUUUGGUUUCUUAAAUGGAGUGUUUAAGUAAUUGUUUAUUAUACUGCUCUGUUUUUUAUAAAAGCAGGCUGUUUUAAUUACUAUCAUGAGAUAAUAAUUCACCAUCUUAAUUAUAUUUUCAGCAUUUACGGAGCAGGUACAUAGUUAAUUUGAAUGGCUUUUUAAGAAGGAGGAUAUUUUUCUUUUGAAGUACUUUAUUCUAUAAUUUGCUACUAAGCCUGUGUUAAAAAUUACUCUCUGCUUCCUCUUACUUCCAUUUCUUCCCUUUUGGGCCACAUAGGAGAAGCAAAUUCUUGCUUCAGCCAGUAGAAGCUCUACUCCCAUAGUGUUUACCUACUUGGCAUGACGCAGGCCCACCUACACACAUUCUAAGGUGUUUCAGUGAAAGAGCACUGAACAGACAGCUCUGUGCAAUGUGUGUGGUUCCCAGUACAAUGGGCAGAUGCCUUCUCCUACCUGUAUUUUAUCCUCUGACCGAGGUGGUGUAGCGUGUGGCUGUGGUGAUAGCAACAGAAGUAAAAGGUGGGUUCUCUGGGGCUUCAUUCUGAGGCUUAGGGUAAAGGUAAACUUGCAAGAGGGAAUUAACUGAAGCAUAAUCAGACUGCUUUUAAUUGCUACUCUUUUCAUACUUAGCUUUAGAAUUUGUGUUAUAUAUGAUUAAAUUUCCUUCUGUCUUAGGACAAAAGUUGGAUAAAUCUCAAAUCCAAAGUUUCUGUGUUUUUAGAAUUUAACUCCUAUCAGCAGUGAAAAAAGCCUGAGAACUAUACUGACCGCAGGUGUUAUGGCCUGUUAAUUAUACACCAGCAGGAAAUGGAAAGCUGUUCUCAUUUUUAAUGUUUGAAGACUAGCCUACAGUACUUAGUUUUAAUGUUGUUAAUCAAUAUUUUCCUUCCAAGUUUGAGAAUUGUGUUGUUCUCUGAAGAAGUUUAUUUAGUAGAUAGAGCAUUGUGCAUUGGUCAGCUCUGCUUUACAGCAAUUUAAGUAGUGCUUCUAUCUCAAUAUCCUAAUUUGCGAUUAUGGUAAAGAGAUUGAAUAGUGUUAUAUCUAAUCGAUUUUUAACCACAGGGAAGCUUUCCACCAAAAAGUAACAAUAAUUGUUUCCCAUCAGGGUUCUGUUUUCACCAAAAGAAAAAAUAUAUCUG